UUUAAUUGGAAUCUUUUUGUAGUUCAGUGCUAUCUAAAUAGAGAAAGACUUUUUUUCUCUUGAAUUUCUGUUGGAUCUCAGUUUUUGAACACCCAAAUCCAUUAGGAUAAUUUGAAGAUCCCAGCUGAUACGCAGUCUAACAGAAAUGAUUUUGCUCUGCAACCCCUUUGCAUGUAACUAAUCCAGAAAAAUGCUGUGUGUGGACAAGCCCGCAGAGUGUAAGAUCCAAGAGGGCAAAGCUAGUCAGACGUUCACUAUUUGUGUAUUGGAACUCGCACGUUGAGGCGUGACUUCUGUGAAAAUCAGUAGCAUGGCAUACUAAAUGUCAGCACUUGAAGAGAAGAAGUACAGCUCAAGCUCAUGGGCUGUGCCUGCCGGCUGUGCUUGCCUGGGCUGUGCAGCUGUGCUGCCCAAGGCUGUGACGCAGGGGUGGAAGGAAGUCGAUGAGCCGGAACAGGAGAGAAGAGGCAAUGGCAACACUUCCGGGAACAGGAAGGCUGUCUGA
rnacentral:lncRNA from 1 species